UCUCCCGCUUUUCCUCCCUGAGCGGGAAGCCUUAUCUGAUGAGGCUGUUCUGGCCCCCGAUUUUACUCCCCUUUAAUCGGGGGUUUUUUU
rnacentral:ncRNA from 1 species